GACGAACGCUGGCGGCGUGCUUAACACAUGCAAGUCGAACGGAAAGGCCCUGCUUUUGUGGGGUGCUCGAGUGGCGAACGGGUGAGUAACACGUGAGUAACCUGCCCUUGACUUUGGGAUAACUUCAGGAAACUGGGGCUAAUACCGGAUAGGAGCUCCUGCUGCAUGGUGGGGGUUGGAAAGUUUCGGCGGUUGGGGAUGGACUCGCGGGUUAUCCGCUUGUUGGUGGGGUAGUGGCUUACCAAGGCUUUGACGGGUAGCCGGCCUGAGAGGGUGACCGGCCACAUUGGGACUGAGAUACGGCCCAGACGCCUACGGGAGGCAGCAGUGGGGAAUAUUGCACAAUGGGCGGAAGCCUGAUGCAGCAACGCCGCGUGCGGGAUGACGGCUUUCGGGUUGUAAACCGCUUUCGCCUGUGACGAAGCGUGAGUGACGGUAAUGGGUAAAGAAGCACCGGCUAACUACGUG
rnacentral:rRNA from 1 species